rnacentral:misc_RNA from 1 species
ACGUGAAGGCCAAGUCGAUGCACCGGUUCUUCGAGGAAGGCGACAAGGUCAAGGUGACCCUGCGCUUCCGCGGCCGGGAAAUGGCGCACCCGGAACUGGGCAUGAAGCUGCUGCUCAAGGUCAAGGCCGACUUCGACGAAGUCGCCAAGGUCGAAUACGAGCCGCGCAUGGAAGGCCGCCAGAUGAUCAUGAUCCUGGCCCCGCGCUAGAGCAUUUUCGAGCGAAGUGGACACCGGUUCGCGUGAAGAAAAUGCGUUAAACAAAGAUCUAGAGCGCCGGCCUGAGGCAAUCAGGUCGGC